AAUGAACCAUGUUUGAAGUGAAAAUCCUUUUAUUGCCAUUUCGCAAUAAAAAAUUGUAACGAAAAGCGCGACCCGCC
rnacentral:sRNA from 1 species